rnacentral:rRNA from 1 species
UAAUACGUAGGAGGCUAGCGUUAUCCGGAUUUACUGGGCGUAAAGAGGGCGUAGGUGGCUUUCCAAGUCGAAUGUAAAAUCUCCCGGCUUAACUGGGAGAAAUCGUUCGAUACUGUUGGGCUAGAGGACGGCAGAGGGAGGUGGAAUUCCCGGUGUAGUGGUGAAAUGCAUAGAUAUCGGGAGGAACACCAGUGGCGAAAGCGGCCUCCUGGGCUGUUUCUGACACUGAGGCUCGAAAGCGUGGGUAGCGAACAGAAUUAGAUACUCUGGUAGUCCACGCCGUAAACGAUGGACACUAGGUAUGGGGAGUAUCGACCCUCUCUGUGCCGUAGCUAACGCGUUAAGUGUCCCGCCUGGGGACUACGGCCGCAAGGCUA